UACGAAGGGGGCUAGCGUUGCUCGGAAUUACUGGGCGUAAAGCGCACGUAGGCGGCUUUGUAAGUUAGAGGUGAAAGCCCGGGGCUCAACUCCGGAAUUGCCUUUAAGACUGCAUCGCUAGAAUUGUGGAGAGGUAAGUGGAAUUCCGAGUGUAGAGGUGAAAUUCGUAGAUAUUCGGAAGAACACCGGUGGCGAAGGCGACUUACUGGACACAUAUUGACGCUGAGGUGCGAAAGCGUGGGGAGCAAACAGG
rnacentral:rRNA from 1 species